rnacentral:tRNA from 1 species
GCAGUCGUGGCCGAAUGGUUAAGGUGAUGGACUAGAAAUCCAUUGGGGUCUCCCCGCACAGGUUCGAAUCCUGUCGACUGCG